GGCUUUAACCCCCCUAUAGAGAUGGGGGUGGGUUUCAAUCCCCCCGAUGGAGAAAGGGGUGGGCUUUAACCCCCCUAUAGAGAUGGGGGUGGGUUUCAAUCCCCCCGAUAGAGAAGGAGGUGGGCUUUAACCCCCCUACAGAGAAGGGGGUGGGCUUUAACCUCCCGAUAGAGAUGGGGGUGGGCUUUAAUCCCCCUGUAGGGAAGGAGGUGGGCUUUAACCCCCCUAUAGAGGUUGGGGUGGGCUUUUAUCCCCUAUAGGGAAGGGGGUGGGCUUGAACCCCCCUAUAGAGAAGGGGGUGGGCUUUAACCCCCCUAUAGGGAAGGGGGUGGGCUUUAACCCCCCCGAUAGAGAAGGGUGUGGGCUUUAACCCCCCUAUAGAGAUGGGGGUGGGCUUCAAUCCCCCCGAUAGAGAAGGAGGUGGGCUUUAACCCCCCUAUAGGGAAGGGGGUGGGCUUUAACCCCCCUAUAGAGAAGGGGGUGGGCUUUAAUCCCCCUGUAGAGAAGGGGGUGGGCUUUAACCCCCCUAUAGAGAUGGGGGUGGGUUUCAAUCCCCCCGAUGGAGAAGGGGGUGGGCUUCAAUCCCCCUAUAGAGAAAGGGGUGGGCUUUAACCCCCCUAAAGAGAAGGAGGUGGGCUUUAACCACUAUAGAAAUGGGGGUGGGCUUUAAUCCCCCUAUAGAGAAGGGGGUGGGCUUUAACCCCCUAUAGAGAUGGGGGUGGGCUUUAUCCCCCUAUAGGGAAGGGUGUGGGCUUUAAUCCCCCUGUAGGGAAGGGAGUGGGCUUUUAUCCCCCUAUAGAUAAGGGGGUGGGCUUUAACCCCCCUAUAGAGAAGGAGGUGGGCUUUAACCCCCCUAUAGAGAAGGGGGUGGGCUUUAACCCCGCUAUAGAGAAGGGGGUGGGCUUUAACCCCCCUAUAGAGAAGGAGGUGGGCUUUAAACCCCCUAUAGAGAAGGGGAUGGGCUUUAACCCCCCGAUAGAGAAGGGGGUGGGCUUUAACCCCCCCAUAGAGAAGGGGGUGGGCUUUAACCCCCCUAUAGAGAAGGGGGUGGGCUUUAACCCCCCUAUAGAGAAGGGGUUGGGCUUUAACCCCCAUAUACAGAAGGGGGUGGGCUUUAACCCCCCCUAUAGAGAAGGGGGUGGGCUUUUACCCCCCUAUAGGGAAGGGGCAGCUCUGGUUUAGGUAUGAGCUCAACGCGUGCUUGCAACUCAUCCUUGUGACCCUGCCGUGCCUGUUUGUGUCUCUUUUACUGUUAACUUCUGUUUUAAUGGGGAAAUAAAAGUUGCUGUGCAUAUAAAAACAACAACGAUAAAAGGAUCCACAGCUGCUCUUCAUCCACGGAUAAGGGAACGGUGAUGAAUUUAACCCGUCUGCUUUCCGUAAAGCCCUUCAGGAAGCGAGAAAUGUGCUUUUUAUUACCAAAAAAACAGCCUUUAUUUGUCUGGAUCCAUUCCGACAGCAACGUUAACACCCAAUAGCAUCGGAUCAUGCCUUUAAAUCUCUUAUUACUCAACCAGAGCUGCAGCAGGAGAGAUCGCAGGAGAACUGGUAGAAGGAGUCCGC